AGCCGGCUAGUUUAACAAAAACCCUUGAUUUCGGCUUAAGAAUUUGUGGUUCGAACCCACAGCCGCCUA
rnacentral:tRNA from 1 species